rnacentral:rRNA from 1 species
GAUGAACGCUAGCGGCAGGCCUAACACAUGCAAGUCGAGGGGUAACAUAGGGAGCUUGCUCCCUGAUGACGACCGGCGCACGGGUGCGUAACGCGUAUACAAUCUGCCUUGUACUGGGGGAUAGCCUUUGGAAACGAAGAUUAACACCCCAUGGUAUCUUAUCACUGCAUGGUGAUUAGAUUAAAGGUUACGGUACAAGAUGAGUAUGCGUCCUAUUAGCUAGUUGGUAUGGUAACGGCAUACCAAGGCAACGAUAGGUAGGGGCCCUGAGAGGGGGAUCCCCCACACUGGUACUGAGACACGGACCAGACUCCUACGGGAGGCAGCAGUGAGGAAUAUUGGACAAUGGGCGGAAGCCUGAUCCAGCCAUGCCGCGUGCAGGAAGACUGCCCUAUGGGUUGUAAACUGCUUUUGUACGGGAAGAAACACUCCUACGUGUAGGAGCUUGACGGUACCGUAAGAAUAAGCAUCGGCUAACUCCG